rnacentral:rRNA from 1 species
AUACGUAGGGUGCAAGCGUUAAUCGGAAUUACUGGGCGUAAAGCGUGCGCAGGCGGUUUUGUAAGACAGAGGUGAAAUCCCCGGGCUCAACCUGGGAACUGCCUUUGUGACUGGAAGGCUAGAGUACGGCAGAGGGGGAUGGAAUUCCGCGUGUUGCAGUGGAAUGCGUAGAUAUGCGGAGGAACACCGAUGGCGAAGGCAAUCCCCUGGGCCUGUACUGACGCUCAUGCACGAAGGCGUGGGGAGCAAACAGGAUUAGAUACCCUGGUAGUCCACGCCCUAAACGAUGUCAACUGGUUGCUGGGUCUUCAUUGACUCAGUAACGAAGCUAACGCGUGAAGUUGACCGCCUGGGGAGUACGGCCGCAAGGUUGAAACUCAAAUGAAUGGACGGGG